rnacentral:rRNA from 1 species
UACGUAGGGGGCUAGCGUUGUCCGGAAUCAUUGGGCGUAAAGCGCGUGUAGGCGGUUCGGUAAGUCCGCUGUGAAAGUCGGGGGCUCAACCCUCGAAUGCCGGUGGAUACUGUCGGGCUAGAGUGCGGAAGAGGAGAGUGGAAUUCCUGGUGUAGCGGUGAAAUGCGCAGAUAUCAGGAAGAACACCCGUGGCGAAGGCGGCUCUCUGGGACGGUACUGACGCUGAGACGCGAAAGCGUGGGGAGCGAACAGG